UACUAUAAAGAGUUGACAGUUUAAACUCUAAAUCAUCCUAGCAUCAAAGGUCAAAGGGAUGAAUUAUAUGGUAACUAUAUCCAAAUAGAUUCUUGAGUGUUGCUUUGCAUACAUUCGACCUAUCUGGACGUUGGAUACCAUUGCUAGAUGGUUAUUUCGAUUGGUGCAAAAAUCAAUUUCUAUGCUACCGAUUUAGGUUCGAACCUAUGGGAUCAUACACAUUAAAAAUUUUUCUCCGAUCACAUGGCU
rnacentral:lncRNA from 1 species